UCCGUAGGCGGGCCAUUAAGUCAGGGGUGAAAGUCUGCGGCUCAACCGUAGAAUUGCCUUUGAUACUGGUGGUCUUGAGUUAUGGUGAAGUGGCUGGAAUAUGUAGUGUAGCGGUGAAAUGCAUAGAUAUUACAUAGAACACCGAUUGCGAAGGCAGGUCACUAACCAUAUACUGACGCUGAUGGACGAAAGCGUGGGGAGCAAACAGGAUUAGAUACCCUGGUAGUCC
rnacentral:rRNA from 1 species